CUACAUCUCGCCAUCUCCACUACCGUCGCCAGCCGCCUCUGCCCCGCCGCAUUCUCUGCAGUAGUAUGCACCGGAUCUCGCCUCCUCCUCCAUCACCUCCAAGAUCUCCUCCAAUUCGCAACACCUCCUCCUCCACAUCGACGCCACCAUCUCCACCUAAAAUCGGGGGUUCUAGAAAUAGUUUUGAGGAGAUAGAAAAUAGUCGGAUUUGAAAUUGAAUCUGAGGAAAAAAUUAGGACACAUUGAAGCAGAUUUCGUCAGGCGGUG
rnacentral:lncRNA from 1 species